rnacentral:rRNA from 1 species
AUUGAACGCUGGCGGCAGGCCUAACACAUGCAAGUCGAACGAGUGGCGGACGGGUGAGUAAUGUCUGGGAAACUGCCUGAUGGAGGGGGAUAACUACUGGAAACGGUAGCUAAUACCGCAUACUAUCGGAUGUGCCCAGAUGGGAUUAGCUAGUUGGUGGGGUAACGGCUCACCAAGGCGACGAUCCCUAGCUGGUCUGAGAGGAUGACCAGCCACACUGGAACUGAGACACGGUCCAGACUCCUACGGGAGGCAGCAGUGGGGAAUAUUGCACAAUGGGCGCAAGCCUGAUGCAGCCAUCCCGCGUGUAUGAUGAAGGCCUUCGGGUUGUAAAGUACUUUCGGCAGGGAGGCGGUACCCGCAGAAUAAGCACCGGCUAACUCCGUGCCAGCAGCCGCGGUAAUUC